rnacentral:lncRNA from 10 species
AGCAGGUUGUCCUGGUUUCAUGUGUUUUUCUAGGAGGCAUCCUCAAGUCCUCCAUCCCUAUCCUCCUGCUCCCAACUCUGCUCUCUUCCCAUUUCCUGGGCUUCAAGGCUUCCUCUUUAUUUAUUCCUUCAUUUUCAUGGAAUAUAUCAUCCUACAGUUUCCUAAGAAAGGCUGCUUGGGCUGGGUGUGGUUAAAAUUUUGAAAGCUUACAUUUCUGAAAGUGUCUCUAUUCUUCAUUCACACUUGCAUGUUAGCUUUGAAUUCAUCAUAUUCCAGCUUCUAGCGUUGUGCUUGAGAAGAGCAAAGCUAUUGCCAUUUCUGAUCUGUAGUACAUAACCUGCUAUUUUUUUUUUUAUCCUGGAAGCUUUUUAGAUCUUAUUCAUAGUUGUUCUGAAAUUUCACAAUGUUGUGCCUUGGUAGGGGAUUUUUUUUCCAUUCAUUGCCUUGGAUACUCGGGUAGGCCCUUUCAAUCUAGAAACAUAUGGUCUUCCAUUUUAGAAUUUUUUUUCUUGAAUUACUGUUAUUUUUUAAAACAUUAUUUCCUCCUUUCCAUUUUCUGUAUUCUCUCUUUAUGGAACUCCAAUUACUCAAAUGUCAGACUUCCUAAAUUGAUGUAGAAGGUCUCUGAUUUUCUAACUGUCUUUCUCCUAUUUUCUGACCCUUUUUUCCUACUUUCUGUGAUUUUUUUUUCAACUUUACCUUCUGACUUUUCUUUUUUCUUCUUUUCUUUUGAGACAGGGUCUCACUCUGUCACCCAAGCUGGAGUGCGGUGGUUUGAUCAUAGCUCACUGCAGCCUUAAACUUCUAGGCUAAAGCGAUCCUCCUACCUUGGCCUCCCAAGUAGGUGGGACAACAGGCAUGUGCCACCAUGCCUGACAAAUUUUUUAUUUUUUGUAGUGACAGGGUCUCGCUAUGUUGCCCAAGCUGGUCUCGAAUUCCUAGGCUCAAGAGAUCCUCCUGCCUCAGCCUUCCAAAGUGUUGGGAUUACAGGCAUGAGCCACCACACCUGACGUCUUGAAUUUUUAGUUUCUACUAUCACAGCUCAACCUUCCAUGAAUGCUUUUAUUCACUGAAUAUUCAGUUUUAAGAAACAAUAUUGGCUGGGUGCGGUG